GUCUGAGUGGAUAGUCUGUGGGAGAGGGAGAGCAGUAGUUCUUUACCAUUUAAAGAGCGACUGACCCUAAUUCCAACGAAUCACUUUGAAAACGGUCUAUGUGGCAUCGAUAUGAGUGUCAAAAUUGACUACAAAGUGUAAAUACCAUAAUUUUGGUCAUAAAGUCAGUCUUAUCUAAAACGGAGUUUGGAAGCUCAGUGGGUCACAACGCGUUCAAAGGUCACAGCCAUUUGAGACUGAAAAGCUCUAUAUGGAUUGAUCAACUAUGGUUUGCAUGCCCUGCCAAAUGACUCUAUCAUGCGGAAUAGAUGGCUGGAGUUCGUUGGUCCCCAGUGGUGACAAAGUGCCCAGUUGGGUGCCAGACUUAUCCCCUGGUCAGGAACAGAUGCCAGGGCUUACCUCCUCCCAGCUGCCCACUGCACUGAGGCUAGCUUGUCAAGUCAGACCACAAGUCCCCUUGUGACACCACCUCCGUUGUUGCCAGUGUCCUCGACUCUUAUGAAAAGGAACAGGCCAUCAUGAGGCCUCUGAUAGUGAACCGAGUUACUGCGCUGAUGACAGACGGCUUCAUCAACAACAACGGGUAAUGUGUGUUAUGUAAAAAGUUGUAUAAAAAAAUACCCAGCUUGAUAAACUAGUUAGCUAAUUCCCCAGCCAAGCAGAUACAACUUGUGGAGUCCUUUUGGUUGUGAAGUGCAUUAGAAAAAAGCUUUGUCCUUUCUUUAGAACAAAUGCAAUUUACCACUUGGCUGUCUACUAUAUCACCCUGUGAAAGACCAUCCCAAUCAACAGCACCUCAUAAGACUGCCUGAGUUGUUGGAGAGAUGUCCAGUGUGCAGCGUAGAGAACCAGCUAGAGGGCCCUCAUCUUCAUCACACUAGAGGGCCCUCAUCUUCAUCACGCAGACAUGCCCUUGCUGUGAGCAUUCCUAUGAAUGGAACAGUCAGCCACAUGUUGGCAUGUAUUGUCGUGGUAAUUCUAACCAAAUGGAGAGAGACUGUAUCUUCAAAACAACUUUUUUAUAAUAUGUGCAAAAAUGAAUCGAUCAAUAACCACAAAGUGCAUCGUUAGGAAAGCCCAUGAACAGAGUUGUUACUCUCCUCUUGUCGAAAAAGUAUCACCUAUUUUGUCAAUGUGGCAGUUUAGCAGAUUAGCGCAACAUGGUGUGUAAAAGCUGAUUUAGCUUGUCUGUGCAGAUUAAGAUAACUGACGUUGCCACCAUUGUCCGUUCCCUCCUGCAUGUUUCCACACAUCUAAGUUCCUGAAGAUUGUUGAAACAGGAUGUCACAUACUGCAGUCGCACCCAAACGGAUGUUAUCUGUAUACCCAGACCCAUGACUAAGUCACACAAAACAAACCUGUAUUAGCAAAAUACUAAGUCCAAGUCUACCGCGUAGUAUGUCCAAUAUGACAAUAUAACAACAUUAAAUAAUUUCCUCCAGCAACCUUCACUUGUCAACAGCAACCUUCAUUUGUCAACAGCAACAUAUUUGUACAAAUACAGAACGUAACCUCAUUAUUAUUAUUUUUACCCCCUUUUCUCCCCAAUUUCGUGGGGAGAACCAAACUGCUUCUUAACACAGCGCACAUCCAACCCGGAAGCCAGCCGCACCAAUGUGUCAG